AUGCACGCUGACAGAAUGCUUCACACAUGCAAGUCAACUUGAACUUCGGUUUGGGUGGCGGCCGGGUGAGUAACGCGUAAAGAACUUGCCUCACAGCUAGGGACAACAUUUGGAAACGAAUGCUAAUACCUGAUAUUAUGAUUUUAGGGCAUCCUAGAAUUAUGAAAGCUAUAUGCGCUGUGAGAGAGCUUUGCGUCCCAUUAGCUAGUUGGAGAGGUAACGGCUCACCAAGGCGAUGAUGGGUAGCCGGCCUGAGAGGGUGAACGGCCACAAGGGGACUGAGACACGGCCCUUACUCCUACGGGAGGCAGCAGUGGGGAAUAUUGGACAAUGGACCAAGAGUCUGAUCCAGCAAUUCUGUGUGCACGAUGAAGUUUUUCGGAAUGUAAAGUGCUUUCAGUUGGGAAGAAAAAAAUGACGGUACCAACAGAAGAAGUGACGGCUAAAUACGU
rnacentral:rRNA from 1 species